ensembl:lncRNA
AAGCCGUACAGGCCAUAGUAAAAUGUUAUUCUUUCCAUUUUUGCUUAUGUUGAAUUCAUAAAAGAUUAGAUGUUUUGAUUCUGUCAUAAACACAGGUUUAACCCAGACUGAGUGAUAAUAUUCAAUGACUUCACAUGUCGACUUUUUAAAAAUAGCCCACUAAUUUCCAGUUAGUUUAGAUAGCUGUUAGCUACUGUCAACUAACAGACGAACUUAAAAAUGCUUAAAACAGUACACUAAAGUUCUCGUGGUAUAUUUGAAGUGCUAAAGAUAUAGGCCUAGGUGUUUUGUCGAAUUCUGAUCCAGAUCCUGACAAGGCGCGCUAGCAUAUGCACCUGCAAGCUCUUUGAUGGUUUUAACAAUUAGCCUAUAGAUGUGCAAUUGAAUCUUGUUACGUGUAAGCUUCGUAUACGCCUCUACCUAAAAUCUAAUUAGCCUAUAUGGAUAAGUUGCGUUUAUUUCUUUGCGUAUUCGCGGAUAGAACGAAACCGACGAGCUUUCUUUUUAGUCUUCCCAUAUGCCAAUUCAAAACAGCGAGCGAAUUAAGAUGGGCGUAACUCUAAAUGGAUCAUGCACGCGGACUUUGGAACAAUAACUCAUCAAUUCACGAUGAGAAGCCGUUUAAGCGCGAGCUGCUUGAGUUUCUGCACACGUCCACGCACGGGGACCAGCGACAGACUCGAUCACAGUAGUCCUCGGAGUAGUAGUAGCACUGGAUACUUGGCAGGAAUCUCGAGAACAUGUUGUGCACUUGAGCGUCAGAUCACUCAAGCCAGAAGCCAAUGGCUGUUUGCAACUAAUUGACAUCAGUGCUUUUCGUGACGUAGAUGCGAGUUAUUCUCGGGAAUAGUUCAUGGUUUUAACAAAUGCAUUGCUGCAAAGACCUCCGCCUUUACCAGUUUUUGACAUUUGCUUGUGGAUUAGAUUCUAUGGUGUUAUGGAUCACCUCAAGUUUGGCACUCAGAGAUGAGGGUUCAUCAUUGUCCACUAAGAGGAAAAGGAGACCUUGGGAAUCAGUGAUAAAACACAGAAAUGAACUGACCUCAGAUCAGAAGUCGGAAGAGGAGCGGAGAGUGGGAGUAGCGAUAGUGGUGGAGGAGUGAACCCGGAGCAGGU